rnacentral:rRNA from 1 species
CCUACGGGGUGCAGCAGUGGAGAAUAUUGCACAAUGGGCGAAAGCCUGAUGCAGCAACGCCGCGUGAAGGAAGACGGUUUUCGGAUUGUAAACUUCUAUCAAUAGGGAAGAAAGAAAUGACGGUACCUAAAUAAGAAGCCCCGGCUAACUACGUGCCAGCAGCCGCGGUAAUACGUAGGGGGCAAGCGUUAUCCGGAAUUACUGGGUGUAAAGGGAGAGUAGGCGGCAAGGUAAGCGAUAUGUGAAAGCCUUAAGCUUAACUUAAGGAUUGCAUAACGAACUAUCUAGCUAGAGUACAGGAGAGGAAAGCGGAAUUCCUAGUGUAGCGGUGAAAUGCGUAGAUAUUAGGAAGAACACCAGUGGCGAAGGCGGCCUGCUGGACGACAACUGACGGUGAGGCGCGAAAGCGUGGGGAGCAAACAGGAUUAGAUACCCUGGUAGUC